rnacentral:rRNA from 1 species
GACGAACGCUGGCGGCGUGCCUAAUACAUGCAAGUCGAACGCAGUGGGGACGGGUGAGUAACACGUGGGUAACCUCCCAUCAGAGGGGAUAACACUUGGAAACAGGUGCUAAACCGAUACUGAUGGAUGGACCCGCGGUGCAUUAGCUAGUUGGUGAGGUAACGGCUCACCAAGGCCACGAUGAAUAGCCUACCUGAGAGGGGAAUGGGCCACACUGGGACUGGUAAACGGCCCAGACCCCUACGGGAGGCACCAGUAGGGAAUCUUCGGCAAUGGACGAAAGUCUGACCUAGAAACGCCGCGUGUGUGAAGAAGGUUUUCGGAUCUUAAAACUCUGUUGUUAGGGAAGCGGUAUCUAACCAGAAAGCCACGGCUAACUACGUGCCAGCAGCCGCGGUAAUUC